GUUGAUUUUGAAUCUGAUCCUUGGCCUUCCAUUUCUAGUGGUGCAAAAGAGUUGUUGAAGAAGAUAUUCAGGGAAGAUCCAAAAGAGAGGCCUUCUGCAACUGAAAUUCUGAACCAUCCAUGGGUUAGAGAAGAUGGGGAGGCAUCUGAUAAGCCAAUUGACAUUACAGUACUAAAUAGAAUGAAACAGUUUGUGGCUAUGAACAAGCUUAAAAAAAUAGCUUUGAAGGUGAUUGCGGAGAAUCUUUCAGAAGAAGAAAUCAUGGGUUUGAAAGAAAUUUUCAGAUCCAUGGACAUUGAUAAAAGUGGAACAAUUACAUUUGAAGAACUAAAA
rnacentral:misc_RNA from 1 species